GACGAACGCUGGCGGCGUGCUUAACACAUGCAAGUCGAACGGUGAAGCGCCUUCCUUUUUGGUGGGUGUGGAUGAGUGGCGAACGGGUGAGUAACACGUGAGUAACCUGCCCCCUUCUUCUGGAUAACCACAUGAAAGUGUGGCUAAUACGGGAUAUUCUGGGUCUGUCGCAUGAUGGGUCUGGGAAAGAUAUUGUUUCGGUGGGGGAUGGGCUCGCGGCCUAUCAGCUUGUUGGUGGGGUGAUGGCCUACCAAGGCGGUGACGGGUAGCCGGCCUGAGAGGGUGGACGGUCACACUGGGACUGAGACACGGCCCAGACUCCUACGGGAGGCAGCAGUGGGGAAUAUUGCACAAUGGGCGCAAGCCUGAUGCAGCGACGCCGCGGGAGGGAUGGAGGCCUUCGGGUUGUGAACCUCUUUCGCCAGUGAAGCAGGCCUGCCUCGUUUGUGGGUGGGUUGACGGUAGCUGGAUAAGAAGCGCCGGCUAACUACGUG
rnacentral:rRNA from 1 species